AGCUACAUUUAAAUCAACUGAGAACACCCCAUCUCGUCCGAUCUGGGAAGUUAAGCAACAUCAGGCCCAGUUAGUAUACUUAGAUGGGUGACCGCCUGGAAAUACCGGGUGUUGUAGGCG
ensembl:rRNA 5S_rRNA 5S ribosomal RNA